AUGCAGUUGGAGAUGGAUGCGGUCGAGCAAAACCGCACCUGGGAGCUCGCUGACCUCCCCCGUGGUCACCGCGCAAUCACCCUUAAGUGGGUGUUCAAGCUGAAGAGGGAUGGAGCCGGCGCCAUCAUCAAGCACAAGGCUCGCCUGGUGGCCCGAGGCUUCUUGCAGCAGGAAGGAGUCGACUUCGACGACGCCUUCGCUCCCGUGGCACGGAUGGAGUCCGUGCGACUUCUUCUUGCGCUGGCUGCCCAGGAGGCUGGCGUGUCCAUCACAUGGAUGUCAAGUCGGCAUUCCUCAACGGUGACUUGA
rnacentral:rRNA from 1 species